rnacentral:rRNA from 1 species
AGUGAACGCUGGCGGCGUGCUUAACACAUGCAAGUCGAACGAGAACGGGUUAUAGCUUGCUAUAAUUGUCAGCUAAGUGGCGCACGGGUGAGUAAUGUAUAGGUAAUAUGCCUCUUACUAAGGGAUAACAAAUGGAAACGUUUGCUAAUACCUUAUACUCCUUAUUAACAGAAGUUAAUAAGGGAAAGAUUUAUUGGUAAGAGAUUAGCCUGUAUUGUAUCAGUUAGUUGGUGGGGUAACGGCUUACCAAGACUAUGACACAUAACUGGUUUGAGAGGCUAGUCAGGAACACUGGAACUGAGACACGGUCCAGACUCCUACGGGUGGCAGCAGUGGGGAAUAUUGCACAAUGGACGAAAGUCUGAUGCAGCAACGCCGCGUGGAGGAUGACACAUUUCGGUGCGUAAACUCCUUUUAUAUGAGAAGAUAAUGACGGUAUUAUAUGAAUAAGCACCGGCUAACUCCGUGCCAGCCGCCGCCGUAA